rnacentral:rRNA from 1 species
UACAGAGGUCUCAAGCGUUGUUCGGAUUCAUUGGGCGUAAAGGGCGCGUAGGCGGCUAACCAAGUCAGGAGUGAAAAUCUUUCGGCUCAACCGGAAAAGUGCUUUUGAUACUGGUUAGCUAGAGGGAGAUAGGGGCAUGUGGAACUUCCGGUGGAGCGGUGAAAUGCGUUGAUAUCGGAAGGAACGCCGGUGGCGAGGCGG